UUGGAAGACAAAAUGCUGAAAGAAAGAAGUUUGCUAGACUCGUUAUGACAGAACUAAUUAGUUGCAGUCUUCCCCCUUGAGAUAAAAACCUUCAUCUUCUUUCUAACCUUCUCAACCAGUGGCAUGUAGUCAUUGACUGUCAUUCGUCUUGUGAGAAGAGGAAGACCAAGAUAUCUCACUGGCAACUGACCCGAAGCAAAUGGAAAUCGAGUUAAUAUCUCCUCUUCUUGAUUAACUAAUAUCCCUGCUGUGUAUAGUGUUGAUUUCUCAAGACUGAUCUUGAGGCCAGAUAUAGCUGCAAACUCUUCAAAUAUCUUUAAAACUCCCUCAAUAGACCUUUUCGUCCCAUUUGUAUAUACCAAGAGAUCAUCCGCGAAGCAUAAGUGUGUGAGAAAUAUGUUCUGGCAUCUUGGAUGAUAUCCAAUUUGCUUCCUUGCAGCUGCAUUGUCAAUCAUAUGCGAUAAGACAUUCAUGCAUAUGACAAAGAGAUAAGGUGAUAAUGCACAUCCCUGUCUCAGCCCCCGUUUACUCUCAAAAAAUCCUGCUAGCUCCCCAUUAACCUGAACAGAGAAAGACGGAGUGCACACACAAAGUUCAAUCCAUCUAAUAAACUGAUCCGGCAUAUGAAGAGCUCUCAAUGCCGUAAGCAGGAAUGACCAAUUCACCGAAUCAAUUGCUUUUGCAUUGUCUAUCUUCAUGGCACAGCGAGGAGAUACAUCUUCUUUAUGAUAGUCUUUAACUAUCUCAGUAGCCAGUAAGAGAUUUUCCACUAGCAAUCUAUGUUUCACAAUCGCAGACUGGUUAUAAGUGAUACAGUGAGGAAGUGUACCUUUUAGCCGAUUUGCUAUGAUCUUUGAUAUCACCUUAUACAAUACAUUACAGCAAGAAAUCGGCUUGUAGUCCUACAUCUCUAUUGGAAUAUCCUUCUUUGGUAUGAGGGCUAAUAUCGUUGUGUUCAAUCCUUUCGGCAAGAAACCUUUGCUGAAAAAAGAAUGAACUGUUGUAGUGAAAUCUUUCCCUAUUAUCCUCCUAGAUGCCUUGAAGAACUCAGUUGUAUACCUAUUCGGACCCGGUGAUUUAUUGCUUGGCAUUCUAAACAACACUUCUCUGAUUUCCUCAUCAGUUAUUGGUUUGAUAAGUUGAGUUCUUACCACAUCAGUACCCUGAAAACCAAGGAUAUCUUCCAUUUCCUCCACUGUCACACUUCUAAUAUCUGCCGGCUCAUGAGAAAGAAAAUAACUAAAGAAUCUUUCAGCUUCAGUCUUUAUAUCCUCUUGAGAAGUGAAAACUACUUUUGUCUGAAAUGUAAUCUCUCUGAUUGUAUUCCUCAUCUCCCUUAUUUUAGCAGCAUUAUGAAACACUUUGUUAUUUCUAUCUCAAAGUUGUAGCCAGUGCAUCUUCGAUCUUUGUUUAAAAAUCUUCUCCUUAAUUUCUGAUAUUCUGCUCCAUCACUCAGAAGCAGUAAGUUCCUCUCUCAUAUUAUCCUGUGUAGGAUCAUUUAGUAAUCGCUUCUGCUUCUCACAGAGAUCUUGAUAAGCUUCUUUUACCUUCAAAGAUAUUUUUCCCAAUUUCUCUUUGCUCAGAUUUCUUAUCAACGGCUUAAGAGCUUUUAGGUACUUCGAGAACCUAAAAAGAGCUGAUGUUGAUUGGAAAAGAGUCCGAGUAUCCCUCCAGUAAUCCUUUACUAGCUUUAGAAACUCAGGCAUAUCUACCACCACAUUUGUAAAUUUAAAAGGCCGUCUUUUACCCACUGGUUCCGCCCUUAGAUGGAAUCUACCACGAAGGUGAUCAGAACAACCCCCAGCCUCAAAUACUCCAUAGGAUUGAGUUCGGCUGUUAAGCCAAGCCUCAUUAACCAUAAAAUGAUCCAACUUCUUACAGAUAAGACCCUCAUCGCUCUGAUUGCACCAAGUAUACUUUUGACCUUGAUGACCCAAAUCAAUAAAGUUGCAAUACUGAACGAUAUUUUCAAACUCCCUCAUACCCACAUUGAUAAGACUCGAAUCUUGAUAGUUAGAAUGCUCUUCUCCAUCUAGAAUCUCAUUGAAAUCUCCCGUUAUGAUCCACUGUUUGCUUCUGAAUAAUGGUGAAUCCUGAUGAGAUUUAAUAUCUUCCCAUAAAUCUCUUCUACACUUCACUGUAUUCUCUGCAUAGACGAAAGAACAAAGAAACUCCUCUGUUUCUCCUUCCACCAGAACUGACACUAUAAUGAUUUGAUCUGACUUAAAAAUUGGUGUAAUAUGAACUUGUGAAUUCUACAUAACCCAUACCCUCCCUUCUCUACUGAAUUCAUAAUUACUUAUGAAUGACCAGCCAUAAACAUUGUUGACAUGAUCUGCUGAGCCUUAUGCUCACUUACACUAGUCUCCAAUAAACCUCUGAAAUGUAAUUUUUUUGAUUGAAUCCAAUUCCUAACCACUUCAUGUUGAUCUGCGGUUGAAUCCUCUCAUAUUCCAGAAAAAAACUGUCAUUGAGAUGAGUUUUUGUUACUUCCUUUACCCAGUUUCCCAGGCGUACCUCCCUACACAGAUUUAUCUGGCACAAUCUUAUGCAUUGUUUUUGAUCUUCUUGGUAAUGAUCGCCUAAUAGAAUUUUCCAGAUCCGGCCAAUGCUCUAUACCAGCAAUACUCUUCCCUAUCUGAUCAUUCUUAUUAUCCUCCUUAGUUUCUUUCAUCCCACUCUUUCCUCCAAUAGUUUUAUCCUUGCCUUCCUCACCAUCUUCACUAACUUUUAUAGUAUCCUCUUUCCUUACUUCCUCAUUAGCUUUCUCUACAAUGAUCUCCUCUUCAAUACGUAGAAUUUCCUCAAAUUCUACUUGGUUAACUGCAUCUCCUUUAUCAUCUACUUCUAGAAGAGCUGAGAAUCGAGCUGGUGUCAAAAUCUUCACCUAGCCAUACUUCAGAUUAGGACUUCUACUCCCUUUCCCACGUUUUACAUCCUCCCAAUUUUCUACUGAUUCACCGUCCUCAAUCUCUUUUACAGUACCAGCAAUUUGGUUCUCCUUUGCUGCUUCUAUAUUUCCUUCUUUAGCUUCUGCCUUCUUCGUUGUUUCUUCUACUGUUUUCACCUCUAAACCAUCUUUCCCAAUAACUCAUUCCUUUAUUAUUUGCUUCACUGAUUUUUCUGAGCUAUCCUUCUUGUUUUUGAUACAAACUUUAUCAGUGUGCCCCCACUUUCCACACAUAGUGCAUCUUAGUGGUAGCCACGGGUAGUAGAAUUAAACCAAUGGAGAUACACCAUUCUUCGUAAAAUUUAUCUUAGUUGGUAACUCUUUUGUCAGAUCAGCAUUGACAAAUAUCUUUGCAAUCUUAAAGUUCGAACAAGCAGCAGUCUCUAGAUGCAGAUGAACUGGAAACCCCGCUGCACUCGCAAUAAAAUUUAGCCCUUCCCAUGAAUAUAUAUAUUCAUCGGCACAUUCUUGAGAUGAAUCCAUAACGGAAUAGCUUUAAUCUCAAGCUUCCCCUUCAUCUCGUCCGGUGUCUAUUUCGGACCCACUAAUGGUAUGUUUUGUUCCACGUCCCUCUCUUUAUAAUCCGAGCUCGCAUCAAUGGAUUCAGAACCUUGAACUUCAUUGUAGUAUCAUCAACAACAUGAACAUCAAUCUACAUAUUUUUAUCACCUUGAUUCCAUAUUUUAUUCACAAUAGCAUGAACUCUGGCCACAUGUGGAGCUGUAUCCAAAUAUUUACCAAUCAAAUAAUCUUCCCAAAGAUGAUUCACCUUCUCAAUAACAUCAUUUGGGAUCUCUACAACCUUUUGUCCCUCCUUUUCUAUGAUUUCCAGAUCAUAUUUCUUCAAAACUUUCUUCUCCCGUGCAACAUCAACCCAUGAUGGUACCUCCAAUUCGGAUCCUCUCAUGAGAUUCUCCAGUCUUCCCCUUCCAUUUUGAUUCUCUGUUUCAAAACCAGCUCCCUUCUCCUGACCUUCCGAUCCAGUGAAAUCAUUACCUCCUUUUUUGUUUCCCAAUCUUGAUCCCUCCUCAUUAAUCUUCAACCAAGAUCCCCUCAAUAGGUUUUCUGGAUCAGAGAUCUCACUCCGCAUCUCCCGAUUAUCCCUAACCUCCGUUAAAGACUUAGGUAAUCCCGGCGAUGCCGCCGAAUCCAUGUCGAUGAAAUCUGUCGCCAAAAUCACCUUUUUUGCCUCUCAAAGCGGUGCGUUUUUGCUUUAUUAGUAACUCUGUUGUUCCUCUCAACAUUUUCAACUAUAUGUUUCCACCUUUGGGCUUCUUCUAAUUAUUUGAUUCCUAAUUAUUUGAUGAAGAAAAGGGUUCUAUCUUUUUCAAUACAAAUAACAAACAAAAACCGAGGUGUUAGCACAAAAUAAAAAAUUGGUCGAAUUAUAAUUUUUUUUUUUGUUGGCUACUGUAUUUGAGAUUUAAAAACUAAUAAAUUAGGAUUUCAAAAUGAGAAUCAACUAAAAGAGUUUAUUUUGCAAAUGUGUAUUACGCUCUUUUAAUUUCAACCACUAAAUCAAAUAUCAUCUAAUUUGAUUGUUAAAACUAGUUAGAGAAUCUCAAUUAUCUAAUCCUUCUUGCACUAACCAUCAUCAUAUAGUUUGAUCAUCUAUUUUAUUGGUUACUAAAGUUCAAAAUAAAUAAUAUAAUAUAAAAUUAUUUAAAUAUUUAAUUUAUAAAAAUGACAUAAAUUUUCUCUAUUUUACUGUUUUUUAAUAUUUAUUAAAAUAUUUCAAUUAAAAAUUAUUUAUUUCUUUAUUUUACUAUUAUAAUUAUAAAAUGUAACUAUUUAUUUUUAUAUUGUUUUACUUUAAGUUUCAUAAUAAGUAGCAGGGAAGAAAGUGAAUGAUAAAGGAAGUUGAGGGAGACAUGAAAGAUACUAAGAUUGAUGUUCUUGCAACUUGGUGAAGUCAUGUAUUGAUAACAUGAAAAAAAGUAAAUGAUAAAAGAAAUUGAGGAGGACAUGAAAGAUAUAUUAUCAAAAUGAACAACAUGUUCGCAUAGUAAAACAUGCGUCACGUAAUCAUAGAAGAUUCACGUAAACCUUGCAUUCACGUCCCCUCUUUUACGUCCUUCUAACAAUACUAAAAGGGAGAUAUGCUCAAAGGAGAGUCUGUGCACGUCAGAUUUAAAAUUCAUCCACUAAAAAUCGUCCAAACUGCUAUGUCAUAUUGAUUUAUGUCGAGAAUAAAAGUUACUCUCUUUGCUGGGCUCAUUAUGCAUGUUAAAGGCCCAAGAUUAUCCUUCGACUUCGUCUUCUCCUUUCCUCUUCGUCAAAUCUCCGUUACUGAGUUCGUUUCACCUUCUUCUCUUUCUCCUUCGUUAUAAACCACUUUGUCUUAAGUUGCUUUCAUUCAAUCCCGAAAACCUCCUCUCAAGAAGUUGAAACUAUAGCGAUGAAACCAAAGGGCAAGUUCACUUGCUGGUACUUUUGUUCAUGGAGGAAGCUAUUUAUUCUUUAGCAGAUACCAAAGGCAUGACCCACUAUCUUGCCUUUUUUUGGUAAUUCCUUAUUCAGUUAACCAAAAUAGUGCCAAUUUCAAUUAAACUGCCCUGUUAAUCUUAGCCGCCGUUGUUUGCCAUUGCUCUUGCGAUGCUUCCACUGAUUUCUUCUUUAUCAAUGCUGAUUUGGUUUUCUCUUCUUUUUUUUUCACACCAGGAGAUGUGUAAGGGAUUUAUUUUGGGAACAUUUUUCUUACAGCCUAGCUUCCUGGUUUCGGUUUAGGUAACACAAGUAUUUGCUCGGUUUGGUUUAAUGAUGUGGUGGUAAGGCUCCUAUUUUGUUGCAUAUCUGUUCUUCCUGUUAGACUUGUGAAGAAUAGAAAUUUUUUGUGAGAUUAAUUGAGCUUAGAAUCAUAAUUCUGUUUUCUCUGGCCGUAGUAUUCAUUUGUAUGUUCUAUUUUCACUUUCCCAUUAAAUUUCCAAUCUUUUUAAAUAAACUUUUUGAAUCUUUCAGACUGGAAUUUAUAUUCAAAAAAAAAACAAUGAAGAUCCUUUUUGAAUCUCCAAAUAUAUAACUUUCCCAGCAGAUUCUUAAAAUGCUCCUAAAGUCUCAGAUCUAUGCUGGCUACUCUGAUCUCCAAUGAAUAAGAUAUGCUGGAUAAUCUAAUGAUAAUAAAGAAGAGAAUGGAAGAACUCUAGAGGAACAGAAAAUUAACGAUGCCUUUUUUGAUGUAUAUUAUUAGUACAGGCCAUGAAUGCUCUGGACUCACCAUUAUUUGGGCUACCAUUUCUCUGCAGGAACACCCUGAGAUUCUCCAGAAGUUAGAGGGACAACAAGAUGCGAUUGUUAAAAAUUGAGCACCAGACCAGAAUUUGACUCUUAAAAGAGACACGUAAAAUGGACUAACUAUCACAGGUGCCUCAUUGCAAAACAAGUUUAUGGUUUUUUUAAAACGGUAUGAUUCGUUACAUAUUCUCUCACUGAAUACAAAAUGAGGCUUUUUAUCUAAGGCCUUUCGGGAAGCAAAGAGGGAUGGCCAAAUGAACGGUCAGUCUAUGCUCAUCGCCUACAUGGACCACAACAAACAAUCUCUAACCCUUUUUGUAUAUUCAUUUCUAUGUUUCUGUAAUUAGACAUACAUCAUACCAAAAGGCUGGAAGGUGAUGACUUGGUUCAUGUAAGUUCACCUGGAUCUUGAGAUUGGCAUGGAUCCAAAUAAAUAUGAACCUUCAAGAUGGGAGGGAUACAGACCUAUACCAGGCACAUUCCUUCAUUUUCAUUUAGGAAGCGGUCUUUGUCCGGAGAAAAAUCUUGCCAAGCUCGAGAUUCUAAUUUUUCUUCAUCUUUAACCAUUGAAGAUGGGUUUAGCUACGCUAGCUUUGAAGCUGUGGGUUAUGACUUCAACACUAUUGAGCUGAGUCAGCUGGUGAGAAGGGUCUCGUUCUUUGAUUCCAAAAUUCUCUGUAGCCAUGCACUGGAGUUGAGUGAACGCGUACAAGCCAGAGAUUAGUGUAUACUUGGAGUAUUGUGGGUGCGCAGAGAGAGAGAGAGAGAGAGAGAGGACAUUUGAGUCUCUAGGAGAAGAGGGUAGGACAGUGAUGUAUCAUAUGUUUGACUCACAGGUCAGAUGUUUAUAGCUAUGGAAUGUUAGUUAUUGAGAUGAUUGGUGCAAGGAACAAAGAAAGCGCUCAUCUCUGCUUCUAACACAAGUUCAUCAAGGAACAAACGGUUUGAGAAGCCUCGUAGGCAGUGUGCGUUGCCUAGCUACCUUGAAGUGGGACUCGAGCAGAAAUAAUUAACUGCAGCAGCAAGGACACGAGAGAAUCUAAACUAUUUUUGGAGCUUUCUGUUUUUGCAUUUUUUUGGUGUAAUGAAUAAUGACUUGUGAAGUUGAGGUAUUCCUUUAUGAGGAUGUCUGUUGGGUUUUUCGUGCUGUAUAAGUUUUGAUAUAUGGAAGACUUUUAUGUUUGCUAUGAUUUACCGCUUUUUAAAUUACUCUAACCAUGUUUUUUCUUUAGUUGUAAAGGAUUGAAUGAAAAAAGACAUGACCAUAUACUUGAUCACACUGCAGGUAUAUUAUUCUUGAACUUUAGAAUCUGCUCAUAUCAAACAAACGUGAGUUUCUUACUAAGACAUGUUCUUCUUGCUGGUUCACAUUAUCUCAAAAUCAUUAGCUUCCUAUCAAUUGUGCAACCUACACUACCAAAUAUCUCACUAAAGAGAAAUGUUGUGAGAACGAAAUAACGAAAAACUACAAGUCAAACCUUCAAAUUUAUUGCUCAUUGCAUAUAUUGUGUAUAUGUAUUUUACCAAUUUUAAAAACAAAUAUUUUGAAUUUUUCCCAAAAAAGAAUAUGGUAGUUAGGAGUACUAAUCACUAAACAUUUAAACCCAUAUAAAAUGUUGAACGCAGAGCAAACAAAAAAAAUUAUAACAAUGUGAUCAAUGAGGAGUUAAUCCUAAUUUUCUGACCAAAUAAUUAUAGUUUUUCUGAUUUUAAGGGUGCGAUCUGUUAAGGAAAUACCUAAGACAUUAAGGACUUCUAUGUAAAUACAU